rnacentral:rRNA from 1 species
GAUGAACGCUGGCGGCGUGCCUAAUACAUGCAAGUCGAACGCGCAGCGAGAGGUGCUUGCACCUUUCAAGCGAGUGGCGAACGGGUGAGUAACACGUGGAUAACCUGCCUCAAGGCUGGGGAUAACAUUUGGAAACAGAUGCUAAUACCGAAUAAAACUUAGUAUCGCAUGAUAUCAAGUUAAAAGGCGCUACGGCGUCACCUAGAGAUGGAUCCGCGGUGCAUUAGUUGGUUGGUGGGGUAAAGGCUUACCAAGACGAUGAUGCAUAGCCGAGUUGAGAGACUGAUCGGCCACAUUGGGACUGAGACACGGCCCAAACUCCUACGGGAGGCUGCAGUAGGGAAUCUUCCACAAUGGGCGCAAGCCUGAUGGAGCAACGCCGCGUGUGUGAUGAAGGCUUUCGGGUCGUAAAGCACUGUUGUAUGGGAAGAAAUGCUAAAAUAGGGAAUGAUUUUAGUUUGACGGUACCAUACCAGAAAGGGACGGCUAAAUACGUGCCAGCAGCCGCGGUAAUAC